UUUACCUACACGCUGUACCUUCUGGUAUAGUAUGAGACAAAAAGGUAUAUUAUAUAAACUCUUUAUGGAAGGUGAAGUAUCUGGAAAAAAGUUCAGCCCAGAGCAGGUGUACCUUUUGAUAAGAAAAGAGCUUUAAGUCUCAGAAUACGUAACAACUCAGCAAAUAAGAUCACUAUUUUCACGUUGGAGCAGGCUGAAAAAAGACAAUAGAUUAAAUGAACCAAUUGAUGUUGGUAUUACUAAUGCGGAUAACGAAGAAGAAGAAGAGACAGCAGAUCAAGAUCAAGAAGAAUUAGCAAAUGAAGAAUUUGAAAAGGAAUUUAUAAGCAUUGCUAUUGAUUUAUCUAGUGCAUGGCAUGAAAACGAUUAGAUUGUUGUAAUUUAUAUAGGCAAUUGGUAUAUAUAUAUAAACUUAUGGAUGAUCGAUUUGAAAAAGCCCAAAAGGCAUUUCAAGCAACAAUGCACUAAAAUCAAAGAUAUAGGAUAUGUAAAACUGAUUUAUGACGCAAGCAAACACAUAAUAAGAUAAGGACGUCAUAUAAUAUAUUGAUUAUUUCCGCUGCUACAUUCGUUUUUUUUUUUUUAAAUAUAUAAAAAAUUUAACUUUU